UGGGGAAUAUUGGGCAAUGGGCGAAAGCCUGACCCAGCAACGCCGCGUGAAGUAUGAAGGCCUUCGGGUUGUAAACUUCUUUGAUCAGGGAAGAAACAAAUGACGGUACCUGAAAAACAAGCCACGGCUAACUACGUGCCAGCAGCCGCGGUAAUACGUAGGUGGCGAGCGUUAUCCGGAUUUACUGGGUGUAAAGGGCGUGCAGGCGGGCUGAUAAGUCAGAUGUGAAAUCCCCGAGCUUAACUCGGGAACUGCAUCUGAUACUGUUGGUCUUGAGUGCAGGAGAGGAAAGUGGAAUUCCCAGUGUAGCGGUGAAAUGCGUAGAUAUUGGGAGGAACACCAGUAGCGAAGGCGGCUUUCUGGACUGCAACUGACACUGAGGCACGAAAGCGUGGGUAGCAAACAGG
rnacentral:rRNA from 1 species